rnacentral:ncRNA from 1 species
CGCAAGCCCGCGACCGGGCCUGCGGACGAGGGCGCAGUACCCGCUGAGCGACAAGACUGACCAA